rnacentral:SRP_RNA from 1 species
GCCAGGCAUGGUGGCUCAUGCCUGUAAUCCCAGCACUUGGGGAGGCCGAGGCAGGAGGAUUGCUUGAGCUCAGGAGUUUGAACAGCCUGAGCAACACAGUGAGACCCUGUCUCUA